rnacentral:rRNA from 1 species
CAUAGGUUAAUGAGGCGAACCGGGGGAACUGAAACAUCUAAGUACCCCGAGGAAAAGAAAUCAACCGAGAUUCCCCCAGUAGCGGCGAGCGAACGGGGAGCAGCCCAGAGCCUGAAUCAGUGUGUGUGUUAGUGGAAGCGUCUGGAAAGGCGCGCGAUACAGGGUGACAGCCCCGUACACAAAAAUGCACAUGCUGUGAGCUCGAUGAGUAGGGCGGGACACGUGGUAUCCUGUCUGAAUAUGGGGGGACCAUCCUCCAAGGCUAAAUACUCCUGACUGACCGAUAGUGAACCAGUACCGUGAGGGAAAGGCGAAAAGAACCCCGGCGAGGGGAGUGAAAAAGAACCUGAAACCGUGUACGUACAAGCAGUGGGAGCACAGAGCAAUCUGUGUGACUGCGUACCUUUUGUAUAAUGGGUCAGCGACUUAUAUUCUGUAGCAAGGUUAACCGAAUAGGGGAGCCGAAGGGAAACCGAGUCUUAACUGGGCGUUAAGUUGCAGGGUAUAGACCCGAAACCCGGUGAUCUAGCCAUGGGCAGGUUGAAGGUUGGGUAACACUAACUGGAGGACCGAACCGACUAAUGUUGAAAAAUUAGCGGAUGACUUGUGGCUGGGGGUGAAAGGCCAAUCAAACCGGGAGAUAGCUGGUUCUCCCCGAAAGCUAUUUAGGUAGCGCCUCGUGAAUUCAUCUCCGGGGGUAGAGCACUGUUUCGGCAAGGGGGUCAUCCCGACUUACCAACCCGAUGCAAACUGCGAAUACCGGAGAAUGUUAUCACGGGAGACACACGGCGGGUGCUAACGUCCGUCGUGAAGAGGGAAACAACCCAGACCGCCAGCUAAGGUCCCAAAGUCAUGGUUAAGUGGGAAACGAUGUGGGAAGGCCCAGACAGCCAGGAUGUUGGCUUAGAAGCAGCCAUCAUUUAAAGAAAGCGUAAUAGCUCACUGGUCGAGUCGGCCUGCGCGGAAGAUGUAACGGGGCUAAACCAUGCACCGAAGCUGCGGCAGCGACGCUUAUGCGUUGUUGGGUAGGGGAGCGUUCUGUAAGCCUGUGAAGGUGUACUGUGAGGUAUGCUGGAGGUAUCAGAAGUGCGAAUGCUGACAUAAGUAACGAUAAAGCGGGUGAAAAGCCCGCUCGCCGGAAGACCAAGGGUUCCUGUCCAACGUUAAUCGGGGCAGGGUGAGUCGACCCCUAAGGCGAGGCCGAAAGGCGUAGUCGAUGGGAAACAGGUUAAUAUUCCUGUACUUGGUGUUACUGCGAAGGGGGGACGGAGAAGGCUAUGUUGGCCGGGCGACGGUUGUCCCGGUUUAAGCGUGUAGGCUGGUUUUCCAGGCAAAUCCGGAAAAUCAAGGCUGAGGCGUGAUGACGAGGCACUACGGUGCUGAAGCAACAAAUGCCCUGCUUCCAGGAAAAGCCUCUAAGCAUCAGGUAACAUCAAAUCGUACCCCAAACCGACACAGGUGGUCAGGUAGAGAAUACCAAGGCGCUUGAGAGAACUCGGGUGAAGGAACUAGGCAAAAUGGUGCCGUAACUUCGGGAGAAGGCACGCUGAUAUGUAGGUGAAGUCCCUCGCGGAUGGAGCUGAAAUCAGUCGAAGAUACCAGCUGGCUGCAACUGUUUAUUAAAAACACAGCACUGUGCAAACACGAAAGUGGACGUAUACGGUGUGACGCCUGCCCGGUGCCGGAAGGUUAAUUGAUGGGGUCAGCGCAAGCGAAGCUCUUGAUCGAAGCCCCGGUAAACGGCGGCCGUAACUAUAACGGUCCUAAGGUAGCGAAAUUCCUUGUCGGGUAAGUUCCGACCUGCACGAAUGGCGUAAUGAUGGCCAGGCUGUCUCCACCCGAGACUCAGUGAAAUUGAACUCGCUGUGAAGAUGCAGUGUACCCGCGGCAAGACGGAAAGACCCCGUGAACCUUUACUAUAGCUUGACACUGAACAUUGAGCCUUGAUG